rnacentral:misc_RNA from 1 species
AACUGAUACUACCUGCGGGAACCUGCGGAGGGAUCAUUAAAGAGUUGAAAAACUCACCCAAAACCACUGUGAACAUACCUUAUAACGUUUGCCUCGGCAGGCGGCCCCAGGGCGGGGCCGUGGCCUGGAAUAAUGGUGCCUGCCGGGGGUUUUUAAAACUUCUGUUAUUUCUAGUCAGCUUCUGAGUCGGGAAAAACAAACCCAGUCAAAACUUUUAACAAUGGAUCUCUAGAUCGGAAG